rnacentral:lncRNA from 1 species
GGACUGGUCAGAAGAAGGAUCACCUGCUUCUGGACUGACCAGGAGUAACUGAAACAGUGGAAGGUGAAACCUCAGAUAAGGGGACUACUGUACUGUCAAGCAGGCUGAAGAGGUUCUCACAGCUUUUACUGCUUUAAAAGGUAAACACUUGGGAGUGGAAUGGCUGGAUCAUAUGGUAGUGGAUUGAGAAUAGUCACUUCAUUCAGGGAGGACGGAACACACGUGACAAUUAACAGCAUUAACCUCUACAGCAUUGGUCUGCAUUUCUGUUCAAAAAUUGACGCCUUCAAAAUGUUGAACCAAUCUGCUAGUAAUUUUAGAGGAAAGAAGCACGUGCUUAUUACAAAAAGAAAGUCUGUGGGUUCUUACAGAAGGCAUUAAAAUUGUUUCCAUCACAUGAUAUCAAAACAUAAGCAGAUUUGGAGACAACCCAGAAUGAUCACCUGGUGUUGAAGAUGAGGAAACCGAAGCCCAGGGGGACCCACACUAUGGAGAAGGUCACAGUAAAUCUGGAAAGAGUCACAUGAAGCUCAUCGUUCUGAACAUCCCAAUUCUACUUGUCAAGGAUGCCUGGAAAGAGACACUGAAGAGAACAGCACAGAAUAUGGAAACCCUGGAGAAGGGAGAACAACUUCAUUGCUAAGAUCAAAAUCAUCCUCGUUUUGAUAUAACCACCAUAAACUAGAAAAAAAAAGGGGGGUUUCAUCUAUACAAGAACUAAUCCUUGGGAAGUAAAUGUCAGUCCUCUGCGAGGACUGGUGGUUGCUUUUCUCUGCCCUUUGAUGUCAGCUUUCUGGGGCGAGGUGGCAGGACCCACAGUGAUGUCCGUUCAGACCACACAUUCCAACCCAGCCCAAGUCACAUGACUGGCGUGUUAGUGAGGUCAGUUUAGAUUAUUCUGGUUUUUGCGUAGCUGGGCAUCAGGUCCCUUGGUGGGGCUGCUUAAAUUGCUCCACCCCUGCAAAAUGCUGAAUGCCGUAUGAGGGGACCACCUGAUUGUCCAGCUCUGCUUCCCCAUGGGCAAAGAGCUGUAUGAAACACAUGCGGACCCUUAUCAGUGUUCCAAACUCUGCAAGGCUUGAAGUUGGUUUUCAAGCCACAGUUCACACAGAUUUAGUAAAAGCAGCCUACAUAGCUG